GUCCCCGGAGGCCUUUAGGGUAGGCGAGGGGCGGCCGGCAGAGCCUGGGAGAGGUGGGGGGCAUCAGGGCAGCGCUUUCACUUGAUUUACAAAUUAAAUGAACAUUUGUUGUCUUUUCAGACAGGGUCUCGCUCUGUCGCCCAGGCUGGAGUGCUGUGGCUCAGUCUCGGCUCACUGCAGCCUGAACCUCCCGGGGUGAAGCGAUUCUCCCACCUCAGCCUCCCGAGUUAGCAGGGACCACAGGCGCGUGCCACCACACCUGGCUAAAUUAAAAAAAAAAAUUUAGUAGAGACAGGGUUUCACCAUGUUGCCCGGGCUGGUCUCAAACUCCUGGCCUCAGGCGAUCCACCCAUCACAGCCUCCCAAAGUGCUGGGAUUACAGAUGUGAGCCACUGUCCCGGCUUAAAUAAUUUUAUUUUGAUAAAGCAGGUCCCCUCCAGCAAUGGAUGGAUAUUCUGUCUUGCCCGACAACUUUGCCCAUCUUGAAGGUCAGACAAGGAAUGAUCAAGGGAUGAUAAUCAUGUUUGGAGAGAGCACAGCCCUGAGAGAGGUAACAAAAGAGACACACUGCUAAAAAGCAGGGAGGGAAACCCAGGCGUUCUGGCCUCACCCAGAGGACACUCUGCUGUGCUCCACACUGCCUCUCGUGGGGUGCUGGGAUAGAGAGGAAGACAGAUGUGUAGGCCUGGUCCUGUUCUGAGGGCUCUGCUGAACCGGAUACUAUGAGAUUAUUUUGUAAACUCUAAUAUAUGACUUGUAAACUGGACAUGAACAAGAAUUUGUGAUAUAGCCUCUUUACCAGGAUUGAAGAAGACAGAAAGAAAAAAAUCUUGGACAAAUUAAUUGCAGGAAGAAAUGAUCAAAUUUUGGCUUACAUAUUUUGCAACAGUGGUAUAACACAAAGAAGUAAGCAAAUAUGGCAGAAGUGUGGUGCCUUUGGCGUCUACUUUUGACCGUAGUGGUGGCCCUGUUAUUCGUGGCUCCCGGGGUUCCUACACAUCCUUCCCGAUGGAAGAAGGUGUUGGCCAAAAAGGUCAGCCAGCUGAUGGAUUGGACCAAGAAAGACAGAGUGAUGAGAAUGAGUGACACCAUGUUCUAUCAUUUUGUAUUAGAUGCACCAAAAAACUAUUCUGUUAUUGUGAUGCUUACUGCUCUCCACGAGUUCAGUUCAUGUGUAAUGUGCAAAGGUGCUGCUGAAGAAUUUCAGAUCUUGGCAAAUUCCUAUCAACGCCCUGGUGCAUUCACCACAAAGGUAUUUUUUGCAAUGGUGGAUUAUGAUGAAAGCCCUGAGGUCUUUGAAGCGCUCCAGGUAAUGUCAGUUCCGAGUUUCUUCCACUUUUCUGCCCAAUGGAAAUUUACAACAGAUGACAUUUAUAAUUUGAGAGGAAGGGAUAUUGUUGCUGACCAAAUAGCUGAAUGGGUAGCAGAAAGAACACAUGUUAGCGUCAGAAUCAGACAGCCUACAAAUUAUCAUGGUCUCCUCAAGCCGGGGAUACUUUUGGCUCUCAUUGGUGGACUUGGGUAUUUCUUGAAAUGGAAUAGGAAAUCUAUUUCUUGCAGAAUUUUGUGCGAAGUUUUAACUCUGUGCUUUGUGAUUGUGAUGACGUCUGGUCAAAUGUGGACUUAUAUAAGAGGAGAACCGUAUGUCCAAAGGGACCCUCACACAGGACAUAAACAUUAUAUCAGUAAAUUUAGUCAGGCUCAGUUUGCAGCAGAAACAUUCAUUAUUUCCCUGUUUAAUAUGUGUGUUAGCCUGGGAAUGGUGCUGUUAGACAAGGCUGCCACCUCUACGAUGACCAUCAUAAAGAGAAAGAUGAUGUGUCUGGCUGGUAUGUGUCUUGUUGCCAUAUUCUUCAGUUGGCUGCUUGCCCUCUUUAGAUUUAAAGUACCUGACUAUCCAUACAGCUUUGUCUGGGAUUAAAAAGGAUCCUACAGACAUAGACAAUGAAGCAAGAAAUUUGAAAAAAAAAAAAAAAAAAGUGAAGCUGAAAAAUGCAAACUCAUAGCUUUUUAAAGUAAUUGAGAUUUCACCAAAAGAGACCAUAAGUGCUUUAAGUGCUUUCAAAAUCUGUCAAGUAUUAUAGUAUGUAUCUUCUCUGUUCUUAAUUUUUCUUCCCGAGUGUUACAGAUUACCUCAAGUCCAAUUAUUAAAAUCUUUAGA